UCUCCAGUCACAUCCAGUCAUUUGAUUGGCAAUCGGUGUACACAUUUUUGGGGAGUUGCGGCCCCCUCGUCAGCCAUCCUAAACUCGGCAAAUCGUAUGAUAAACACACAAAGUUUUACAUUUUGGGACGCAUGCAGUUUAGCAACGUCCAUUCUGGGACCGGAAUCGGAUUCCCGAGACCGUGCUACGUCGAAGCCAGUGGUAGACUCCUGGAGCGUCCUGGCUCCGAGAAGGGACGUUUUUCUACAUUGCAUCGAAACACCUCAAAAAACUAGAUAUCUUGGUAGACCCAAUCAUUAGCAAACACAUUUCUUUUUCAAAAUGGAGGGGUCUCUGCAAUUCAAAUAAAUCACAUGUAGAAUGACUCAUCUGCUGACACCCCAGCAAGAUCGCCACCGCGUCUGCCCGUUGGGUUGCCUACCCACCGGCGCCAUAUAAACAGAAAUUUGCAUUUGGCUCUGCGGCGCCACAUAUUAUUACGACUCCAAGUGAUCGAGGAGGAGCGAGGAAAGUAGGGGGAGGGAGGGGGGGUCGUGCAGUUAUUUUCCUUCUGGUAGCGACAGUCUUGGGGACUGUCUAAGAAACACUUCUAUCGGCACCCCAUGAUCUUCGUGUCGCUCAGCUGAAUAACAAUUAUUUGCUCAUCGACCAUGUACUUCCUCGUAAAUAAAACUUUUUCUUAAACAAUUUAUUAUGUAACAUCGAUAUUAAUCGUUCUAACACAACCAACUUUGUUUAAUACUUUUUUCAUCAAGUAGGCUACAUUUCCAUAUUUUUUGAUAUGUAGGACUUUUCUUCUGCUCCACUCCUUUCUUCCACUCUGGACGCCCGGGAAUGAAGGGUGCCUAAGUCGCACAGUUGCUGGACACCCCUGAUUUCACUAUACUUCCCCUGCCCGGAAAGGUGCCGUGGCUGCUGGCUGAGGCAGCUUCAAUCCUUAUACACACCAUUUACUGUUGUGCGUGUGGAACUCUUCCUUUAGUGUACUAAGUACACUGUUGGGUUUGGAGUGUAGUUCUUGUACUUUUCCGAUUUUGAAUUGUAAUAUUACGACACACUCUACGGAUAAUUGUCCCGUAAAACCUACAACUAUUUUUUCUCGUGAUCGGAAGAAGUCAUAAUUUUGUGUUUUCUUAUCAAAUAAAACUGUGUGGACUCAAGGUCAACUGCGGUCUGGGCACUGGCCCACGCCCACGGGCGCCGGCUAGGUCAGACGCUCACACGGCCGCUCAGUCCGGCUCAGUCUCAGAGCGCCGCCAGUCUGAAUCGCAGGCUGGUCGGCGACAGACUCGCUCGCGCUGGAGCCAACUUGUCCCAGAACCACUGCAACUAUCGUUGAUUUGGAUUAGAAAGACUGCCGUAGUUUAGCUACUCUAGGAUGAUGACCCUGUCUUCCGUGUGGCCGGCGAGCGAGAUGGCGCUGCUGCUGUUGCUCCUGCUGCUGGCCCUGCUGGCGUUUGGCGUGUUCAAAUCCAAGUACUUCGACCCCGCGGCGAUCCGCGCGCGCCGCAUCGCCGAGGGCUACCCGCAGUACAGCAGCCUGCCAGUCAUCGGCCACCUGCUACACGUUCU